rnacentral:lncRNA from 1 species
UCCUUCCUGUAGGUUACGCACGUUGCCUAGCUCAAUUAAAUGGCCAGAUUUCGUGUACACGCACACAUCGUCCACUCAAAGAAAAACCACACACGCAGCCACGCACGGAGUCAUCGCCUCGAGCCCUCGACCUCGCCUCUCACGCCGCCGCGGUCCUGCGGAGUCAUCAGCUCACCGGCUAAUUACGGCAAAUCGCUGACUUACCGUCGCCGGCCCCUUACACCAUCAGACUUGCACUACUUCAUCGGAGAACAGAGAUCUUAAUUCCACAACUCCCUAGUUCGAAAUGACUUCAAGGUAAUGCGUCAAAUUCUUUAAUUUCAAAUCAACUUACAUGUAUAGUUUAUCAAUUUGGAUGAUUAGGUCAGUUUAAAUUUUGUGUAACAUACUCUCCCCUUUCCUAAAUAUAAAUCUUUUUAGAGGUUUCACUAGGGGCAUACAUAUGUAUAUACACAUACUUUAUACUAUAGAUUCACUCAUUUUGUUUCGUAUAUAUCACAACUCAUCUUCAUGUAUGUUGUAUGGAAAUUUAUCCAUUCAUUUAACAUCCAUUAUUUUAACUUAAAGUUGCAGGGAAAUAAAUGAAGAGGUUUUUCUUUUCAAAAAUCAACAACUUUCAAGAUGCCUGAACUUGUUGAUUUGUACAAGCUUCCUAGGGAUCCAUCUAAAAGACUAGAAUUCCUACCAAAAGUGAUAGUUAAACCUUUUCAUACAGUCAAAGAUCAUCGAGGGAUAAAUAAAAGGUAAUGCGCUAAAGUGUUUCUUUUUCUUUUUCGAAGUACCAUCCUUCUUCAAUGUUUCCAUUCUUUCUCAAUUUGAUAAUGUAAUUUCUUACAGGUUGUAGGUUGAUUGGUAGAACAAUGUGUCACAUUUGCAACUUCGAAACAAGAUAUUACCAUAUGUAAUUCAUUUAAUCUCAAAUGGUUAGUCUUCUUUCAUUUUUGAUGAAUUUGGUUAAUGCAUGAAAAAGGAGGUGUGCAAAAAUUAGGUGAUUAUGCCCGUGUUUUAUUUACAUUAAUACAUUUUUUUGCCCCCUCUCAUUUUUUUUCCUGGGUCCGCCCCUGUGGUCAUCUACU